rnacentral:rRNA from 1 species
ACACAUGCAAGUCGAGGGGCAGCGCGGGAUAGCAAUAUUCUGGCGGCGACCGGCGGAAGGGUGCGUAACGCGUGAGCGACAUGCCCGUUGCCCGGGGACAACCGGUGGAAACGCCGACUAAUCCCCGAUGGGAUACGAUGCUGCAUGGCAUUGUAUUGAAAGUUACGGCGGCGACGGAUUGGCUCGCGUCCGAUUAGCUGGUUGGCGGGGUAACGGCCCACCAAGGCUGCGAUCGGUAGGGGUUCUGAGAGGAAGGCCCCCCACAAUGGGACUGAGACACGGCCCAUACUCCUACGGGAGGCAGCAGUGAGGAAUAUUGGUCAAUGGGCGGAAGCCUGAACCAGCCAUGCCGCGUGCGGGAAGGAGGCCCUAUGGGCUGUGAACCGCUUUUGCCUGGGGGCAAUAAGGGCGUCGCGCACGCCCGAUGAGAGUACCAGGCGAAUAAGCAUCGGCUAACUCCGUGCCAGCAGCCGCGGUAAUACGGGGGAUGCGAGCGUUAUCCGGAUUCAUUGGGUUUAAAGGGUGCGUAGGCUGUGCGUCAAGUCGGGGGUGAAAUUCCGGUGCUCAACACCGGGGCUGCCCUUGAUACUGUCGCGCUGGAGUGCGGAUGCCGCCGGAGGAAUGAGUGGUGUAGCGGUGAAAUGCUUAGAUAUCACUCAGAACACCGAUUGCGAAGGCAUCUGGCGAAUCCGUAACUGACGCUGAGGCACGAAAGCGUGGGGAUAGAACAGGAUUAGAUACCCUGGUAUUCCACGCCGUAAACGAUGAUGGCUAACCGCCGGCGACACACUGUCGGUGGCCAAGCGAAAGCGAUAAGCCAUCCACCUGGGGAGUACGUCGGCAACGAUGAAACUCAAAGGAAUUGACGGGGGCCCGCACAAGCGGAGGAACAUGUGGUUUAAUUCGAUGAUACGCGAGGAACCUUACCC